ACAAAUAAAAAUAGAAGAGCUACAACUGCUAUUGGUACAUUUAUCGAAUUAAAUUUCCAGGUAGAGAGGCAGGAUGGAACUCAUGAGGAAUGAAUUCCUUAUUCUGUCUCAAUCUGUUCCAUGUAUAUGAAUAUUUAAGUUAUUCUUCUUAGGAAUGUGAGGUACUUUUAUUGUUCUUCUAACUUGAUGAUGGCAUAUACUUGUUCUCCAAGAAUGAUCUAAAAAGAAUAAAUGCCUCACGAGGCUUAUGAAGAGGAACCUCAUGUCCAGCAUCUCUUACUGUCACCAAUGUUAACCCUUUACAAACUUGACUCCAUCCACAAACCUGAACAAAAGACCAAAUUAUCAUAUAAUGAGUCGAACUAAUCCUUACAAAAUCUGCAUUUAAGGUGAAAUGUGUCGCUCUUUAUAAAAACAAUUCAGGCCUUAUUUCAAUUUGUGCGUAGAUAAUUUGGUGAGUUGUUCGAAUGGAUAAGUUCUGAUACAAUAUAAGAUUUUUAUAUUCGCGUAACUCAUUUUUACAAAAAAUUUAGAAGUUAGCACCAACCUUACCAUUAUCAUACCAAGGGUACCAAUUGAUUAUGGUUGGUAGCUUCAAGGCACCAAUAGAAUAUCUAGUUGCAGUCGGUGGAAUUACAGCAUCAGUGUCUCCACUACAGCCAAAAUAUCAAAGUUAAGAAGAGCUCCUAUUCUAGAUUACAGAAUAUGAAAUGGAUGAGAUUGUUGAAUUGAAAGUGACACUCCCUUCUUAAAUAUAAACAAAAAGGUACGAUGUAUUUGAUCUUCGUACCUUUUUAUUUAUAUUUAAAGGUGAAAGAUUAAAGUUGGUACCUGUAGACCCAUAUCCGUAGAUCGGCAUUAAUAAGUUCUUGAUAUGUAGGAAGCAUGGACAAUGGGGAAUCAGUCCAAUAAUUCCAAACAACAUCACUGUCAAGAAGAAGAAAAAAAACCAUUCAAUUCAAAAUUAUGAUAGAAUCAUAGAGACUAGAACAUGUUAAAUGUCAACUUAUUAAAUCAAAAUCACAUGCCUGCAUGCCUUCCAUGCAUAUGGAAUCCCAGUUACAUUGGCAUGAAGUGCCUUCUGAACUUCUGGGCGAUUGAAAUACAUAUCAGAAUAGAAUACCUUGUAGCACAAGGAUCAUAUGCUCUAUACAUCCAUGGCUGAAGGGAGAGGAAAAGAAAAUAAGAAAAAAAAUAAUCAUCAAACCACUUCUACUAAUAUAUGUUAUCGUUUUUGUAAGAAAGGUGAAUGAGUUGAAAGCAUAUUAGGCUUACAUAACGAUGAUUCAAGCCACUUUUGAGUGACGCAGUAUCGUUACAAAGCGGUGUAUUAAUGCUGUAUCCAUCAAUGUUUCCCUGCUCAGCCUGUGCAACUGUAAGAGCCUGCAAACAUUGUACAGAUGGAUGCUGAAUGGACGUAAAAUCACAGCCAGUGUUUAGCAUCCUAUAUGCGGAAUCUGAAAUCAAACCAUGUGUCCACCGGUACUCAAAUGUCCCAACAUAAUCAUGAUAAUCAUCAAUCACACCAUUUCCAACCUAUGCCACCAAUCACAGAAUAUGAUUAUUGUAAGGUAGUUGGGUUAGUUGUGACUUGUGUGAUAAGCAUGGAGAUUUUUUUGCGGUUCAGUUCGGUUCACUUCAGUUUUCUUCCUGAACCGAAUUAUGAACAAUCCUAGUAGUGUCCAUGUUAACAUAGUAAAAGGUUAAAACAUGAACCUAAAAAUCUUACCAUAAAUCCCUUAAAAUUUAUGACUGGAUUAUUGAUUCCCUUAUUUCUCUGGUUAACAAUUUGAGCUAACUGAAGAACAUAAUGACCUGAGAAAAUCAUUUAAUUUUUAAGAAAUUGAAUAAUUUUUCAUUACACAAACCAUUCCGAUCCAUUGAUAAGUAGAAAACUGAUAUAUCAAUUAUCAAAUAUAGAUUCGCCUGCAUAACUUUCCCCAGCCAUGUAGAAUUCUCUAUGCUUAUACUGAGGAAAUCUUUCAAACCAAUUAACUAGAAACAUAUAUGCAUCCUCAGCUGCAAAGUCAAAAAAUCCGAGACCCCGGCCGGAUACAUAUAUUAACAUGUCAAAUCUCAUUGCUAUAGUAAUUAGCAUAAUUUGGUACCUACUUAGCACCGACACAACACUGACAUGUAUGGUUACAUUAAAUUAUUACAGUGUAGACGUGUCACUGUCGUAUCAGGUGUAUGUGUUUGUGCUUCAUAGUCAAAAAUUACAUUACCUGUUUUCUGGUCACCAAAUUUGUGCAUGUCUGCUGAUUUAUUACAAUAAGAAAAACCAACACCAACAGGAGAAUCAAGGAAAAGUAAGUUUGCCACUGCAACAUCCAAAAUAAUAAAUAUUAGGAACAUUAUUUUUUAUUCAUACGAAUAGAAGUAACAAGGACAGGACUAAUUCUCACUAGAUAAACAUUUGACUUACAAUUGUUCCAAGCAUAAGGAUUCAAGUAAAGUGACUUGCCAUGAGGCCUAAUACGAAAAGGGCCAAUUUCUUCGGAAGCACCAUACACAAUAGAAGAACAACCAGGACCACCAUUAAGCCAUAAAACCAGUGACCUUGAAUCGGGUUCACGACUCAGUGGUGCUUCAAUCAACCAAUAAAACAAUGCUCUUCCUCUCUUCGUAUUCACAGUCACAUAACCUGAAUAUUGUUCAAACCCAACAUUCUUUGGUUGUCCUGGUAACCAACCAAUCUUGUCUCUUUUUUUAUCUUCUAUGUUAGAAUCCAAUGAAAUUUCCACACAGAAAAUGGACAAAAACAAAACAACAUAGAAUAUUGAAAUGGAAUAACUCAUAUCAACCAAUAGUUUUGCAAAAACCAAAACAAAGUAAAAAUUGUAAAAUAUAUAUUUCUUGGUUUCCUACCCUUUUUAGUUGAAAAACAUUUGAGAGGGAAAAUGAAUGAGUGAGUAAGUGAGGUACUUAAAAUUGUGGUAUUUAUAAUCAAGAAAGUACAAAUAUUUGUUAUAGUGGGUUGUUAGGGAUUAAGAUUCACUAUUGUAGUGAAUACAUGCAGUUUCACGCUGUUUUCAAUCUCGACCAUCAAUCUGAGAUCGGAUGGUUUAAAUUUAAAAACUGUCUUUUUUGUUAAAAUCAUAUCAGCCGUUGAUGUAUAAUCGGAUGGCAGAUAUUGAUUACUGCGUGUUACAGCAUGCUGCUGUAAUAGCAAGGAAUCUUUUUCCAGUUGGUAGUUAGCACUAUCUAUGUAGGACUGACUCUUCACUUUGUCACUAUGACGAUGUGUUCGUGUUAGUGUCGUGUAUAUGAUGUUUGUGUUUGUGCUUCAAAAUCAAAUAGCACCAUGCAAUUGAUCUAAUCAUCAAAUUUAACAUACUCCAAUUCCAACUCUACAUCCCACUCCAAAGCUUCAAGCAGUGAGUGUCUCAUUCUGAGCUUGCUGCAACAGAUUCCAAAGGUUCUCAUUCUGCAGACACGACCUGCUUCGUUGACAGAAAACCAGUGUGUGCUAGUCGCUUUCAUCAUACAUUCCAAAGGUUCUUUGCUAAAGUGCAAAGUAUCAAGUAUGUCCCCAUGUUCUUCUUGUUGGGACUAAAUUGUUUAUUUUAAUUAUUAUCGAUGAACAAAAGUUGGUUUUUACUAAUUAUUGUGACUGAUCUAAUUAUCUCUUUUCUGAUGGUGGAUUAAAGACUAAGUUGUCUUUUUUUUUUCUCAAUGGCUAAAAGUUGCUUUUUUAUUGUCUUUGAAGAACCAAAUUGGUUCUCAUAUUUUUUCUCAGAAGAACAAAAAUAAUCUUAACUGUACAAGUAAUGUUACCAAGUACUGAUUGCUUGACUCAUAUGGUUGGACAUCCGUUCACACAUGUUGUGAUUUGACUUUAAGUCUGAGAUUCUCUCAUUGAUUAGGUUAUACGUAAAUUUCAUCGUAAACUUUCAAUGUGGUUGAUAGUUUUCCUAACCUUACAUGUGGUGUGUGCUUCAUAUCUAAAUCUUUUCUUAUAAGAAGGAAAGUAAUGUUACUAACACCCUCUUUUACUAGAACCAAAUAUUUUCCCGGUGAACCAUCAGCUGUUGAAGAAGGAUCUGUCGUAUCCUGAUUUGAAGAUGUGGGAUCUGCAGCAGGUGUGCAGUCUAUUUAGUAAAGAGGAUGCUGAAAGCUGAUGCAGAGCUACAAACACCAUUGAUCCCUGCAGUUCAAGAAGAUAGAAUCAUGUUGUGGCCAGAUCCUAAAGCACGGUUUUCACUCAAAAGCGCAUAUUAUUUGGCCAUACAUAACAUGAUUGAUAGCUCUGAGUUUAAGGUCAAUGGUGAUUGACCUACUGUUUGGAAGUUGGAAUUGCCGGCAACGAUUAUGAAUUUUGUCUGGCGAAGGUUGACGAAUUGUCUUCUUACAAGGUCUCGGCUGCGACAAAAAGGUGUGGAAUGCUCAAUGUCGUGGCUUUGUUCUGGGACCUAAUGGAACCUGUUAUCCUUGUUGCAAAUGACUUUGAGAUUUUUUUACUUCAGGUUUGCAGCCUCCUUAUUGCACAACCAGCGUAGCAAUUUGUGUCUGCUGUUAUGGAGUUGUUGGCAUAGCAGGAAUGUCCACUUGUGGGAAAUUGUUGAGGAAAAUUGCGCCAGUCAGCAGCUGCGUUUUUGCAACAGUGGCGCACAACCAAUGACAGGUCUCUGUGCAGCAGCCAAGGUAGGAGCAGGCAAAUAAUAUGUUAGUAAUGGGUUUUGUAUGUUAUCCGGUUUUUCUUCUUGCAAAAAUCAAAUUAAGUCUCACAGUUUUUCUCAAUUACUAAAAUUGAUCUUCACUCUUGUUUAAUCCCUUCGAUACACUUUAUACUAUUAUACGUUCUCAAAAGGGGUCUUAUAAGUAAUAAUUUUCAUUUCUAUGCAAAUUUUAAUUAUAAGGCAGAAAGACAAAUCUAUAAAACAUGAAAAGAACAAAUUCAGGAGCUAUGUCAAUGUGUGAAGUAAUAUCACAUUAAAAGAAAGGUGAGCACUAAUGAUUGGCAUUCAGAAGCUAAAUUCAAAGUUUGAACUUUUCAUUUAUGAGAACAGUUUUCUACACAAGAUAUCACAUUAAUCUUGCAUAUUGAAUAUUAUAUACUAAAGAAUAACACUUUUCAUAAAAAUAAUCACAAUUUCAAUAACAAAUAAAAAUAGAAGAGCUACCACUGCUAUUGGUACAUUUAUCGAAUUAAAUUUCCAGGCAGAGAGGCAAGAUGGAACUCAUGAGAAAUGCAUUCCUUAUUCUGUCUCGGCCUGUUCCAUGUAUAUGAAUAUUGAAGGUAUUCUUAAGAAUGUAGGGUACUUUUUUGGUUCUAUACUUGAAGUGAAAAAGAACAAAUGCUUCCCAUU
rnacentral:lncRNA from 1 species